rnacentral:rRNA from 1 species
UACGGGGGGGGCAAGCGUUGUUCGGAAUUACUGGGCGUAAAGGGUUCGUAGGUGGCUUGCUAAGUCAGACGUGAAAUCCCUCAGCUUAACUGGGGAACUGCGUCUGAGACUGGCAAGCUUGAGUGCAGGAGAGGAACGCGGAAUUCCAGGUGUAGCGGUGAAAUGCGUAGAUAUCUGGAGGAACACCGGUGGCGAAGGCGGCGUUCUGGACUGUAACUGACACUGAAGAACGAAAGCCAGGGGAGCAAACGGG